AUUAAGUUGAGUUUGAUGAUGGCUCUGAAUGAACGCUAUUCAAAUGCCUGACACAUGCUAAUCGUACGUUUGUAGUUCAACAAUUGUUAACUACAAAAGUGGUGUACAGGUGAGUAAAUGGUGAAUUGGUUACCUUAAAGUGAGGGAUAAAAUACCUUAUAACAAAAGGAGUAAUCUGCUUUAAGAUAUUAGUUGUAUCUCGGGUAGGUAGUAGGAGAGGUAAUUGCUCAACUAGCCUAAUAUCCCGUAGUCGAGGCUGAAAGGUCGAUCGACCACAUUGGAUAUGAACAAAAUUCAAUGCAUGAUAGUACAGCAGUGAGGGAUAUUGGUCAAUAGCCGAAAGGCUGAACCAGCAAUUUGAAAGAAUGGCCUUACUAGUUAUAACUAGUUUGAGGGGGGAUAGAUUAUAUGUAAUUAAUUAUGUAUAAAGGGGUCCAAGCCUUAGGCCAAAAGCCUAGGAUUAAAGUUCUGAAUAGAAUAAUGAUAAUGACAAUUUUCUAAUUCAAGUGUCUUGACAAAUUCAUGUGCCAGCAGUCGCGGUAAUACAUGAUAGACUAGUGUUAUUCAUCUUUAAUGGGUUUAAAGGGUACCUAGACGGAAGUUCAAGCCUGCGAGGGGACUGAAUUUCUAGAGUUUUAUGUGAGAAGGGGAGUACUACUGAUGGAGAGAUGAAAUUUGAUGAUAUCUUUAGGACUGGUAAAGGCGAAGGCAACCUUUUAAGUAAAAACUGACGUUGAGGGACGAAGGCUUAGGUCACGAACAGGAUUAGAUACCCUAGUAGUCUUUGCAGAAAACGCUGAAUGCUAUAGGUUAGAAUUAAAAUUUUUGCCUAUAAAUGAAAAUGUAAGCAUUCCACCUCAAGAGUAAUUCGGCAACGUAGAAACUGAAAUCAUUAGACCGUUUCUUGAAACCAGUAGUGAAGUAUGUUAUUUAAUUCGAUGAUCCACGAAAAAUCUUACCAUAACUUGAAUAGCUGGUAAAAUAUAAAAAUUAUAAUUAUUUUAUAAACGAGUUAUUAAACCUGUUCUAAAAAAGAAGGAAUACAGGAUAAUAAAUAACAGAUAAAUUUUAUCAUAUGAAUUUAUUUCAAAUAAGUCAUAUAUACCUAUGCUACAGGUGUUGCACGGCUGUCUUAAGUUAAUGUCGUGAGAUCAUGGUUAGAUCCAACAAUUAGCGUAAGCCCUUAGUUUAUUUAAAAAAAUAUAAAUUAUUAAUAUAUUUAUUAUAAGAAUAUUUAUUAUAAAAAUAUAUUAAGCAAAUAUUUUAAAUGUUUAAAUAUUUAAUAUUUUUAAUAAAUUUAAUAUUAGGAAUAAGAAGAGUAAUAUUUUAAAGAUUUAGGAACAUUACGGAGGAAUGUUUUUAAUAUUUAGGAAUAUUUAGGAAAAGGUAAUAUUUUGAUGUACAAUAUUAAAUUUAAGAAGAAAUAUUUUUAAUGUUUAGUAUUAAAUAUUUGUUUUUAUAAAUAAAUAAAUUAGUUCACUAAGAAAAUGGCGUGUGAUAACCGGGAAUAAGACAAGUCAUCAUGGCCCUUCUAUCGUAAAAAAGUUAAUGUUAUGGGCUCUUAUGUGUUUUAAAAAAACAUUUUUUAAAAGGCCUGAUAUAGUAUCAAACUCCGGGAAAUCCCUAAAGUUUAUGGUGCCAAGCUUAAAAGUAAAAGGAUUAAGUGGCUGAAUUAACUAUUCAGAUAAGGCAAUAAACCAUAAGAUUUAUGAAAAUAAUAUGGGUAACCACGGAUCUAAAACAAUCAGCGAAAGCAAAGUAAUUCUGGACCGUUACUUGAUUGUAAAAGAACAACGGAUAGAUGGUUUAAAAUUUAUUAAUCUGAUAAAUUUAAGGUAUAUCCUAAUGUAUUUUGAAAAAAAUAAUAAAGUUAGAAUUUUUACUAACCAAAUAGAAAAUAGAAAAUCCUAUUAUUCUACUAAUCAAAUUAAAGAUAGAGAAUCUAUUGUUUUACCAAUCAAAAUAGAAAAUAGAAAAUCCUAUUAUUCUACUAAUCAACUAAGAAAUAAAAAAUCCUAUUAUUCUACUAUAACAAAUGGAAUAAAUUUAAACCCUUGAUUUAUUACGGGUUUUUCAGACGCUGAAUGUUCUUUUAUAAUACUUAUUUAUAAAAAUCAGGAUAACAAGUUAAAUUGAAGAGUUCAAGCUAAUUUUUCUAUUCAUGUCCACAUUAAAGAUUUACCAUUAUUGGAAUUAAUACAAAAAACUUUAGGUGUGGGUAAGGUUAGAAAAAAUAGUGAAAGCACAGUUCUUUAUAAAGUUGAUACUAUGGAAGAGUUACAAGUUAUUAUUGAUCAUUUUAAAAACUAUCCUUUAGUAGGUGCUAAGUACUCUGAUUUUUUAUUGUUUGAAGAAUGUUAUUAUUUAAUUAAACAAAAAGAACAUUUAACUCAAGCUGGUCUAGAAAAAAUUUUAUCUUUAAAAUAUUAUUUAAAUAAGGGAUUAUCUGAAGAGUUAAAAAUUGCUUUUCCUAAUAUAGUACCAAUAGAAAGACCUGAAUAUAAAUUUAACGGUAUACCAAAUCCUUUUUGAAUAUCUGGAUUUGUUACUGGUGAUUCAUCAUUUAUUGUUUCUAUAGAAAAAAGUACUAAUAAAGUAGGUAAAAGAGUAAGAUUAAUUUUCGGAACUUGUUUACAUAUUAGGGAUAAAGAUUUGCUGAUAGGUAUGGGAAAUUAUUUAAAUGAUUUUAAUACUAAUUUAAAGACAAAUAAAAAAUUAAUUUCUGUGUAUGAUAAUAAAAAUACUUCAUUACUUCAAAUUAAAAAUAAUUUUGAUAUUGAAAAUAAAAUUAUACCAUUUUUUAUUAAAUAUCCAAUAAUAGGUAUUAAAAGUUUGGAUUUUGAAGAUUUUAAAAAAGUAGCAGUGUUAGUUAAAAAUAAAGAGCAUUUAAAUGAAAAUGGUUUAAAUAAAAUAAUAAAAAUAGUUGAAGGUAUGAAUUUAGAUAGAAAGUGAUAAAUAUUUUUAAUUUGUAAGUGUUAAAUCUAACGAGCAUGAUAGACGUGCCACAUAUGCCUUGACAAAGGGAUGCAAAAAUGUGAGUUUUAGCUAAUCCUACAAAAAAAGGAAAUAAAAAAAAUGGAUUGUAGUCUGAAAUUCGACUACAUGAAAAAGAAAUUACUAGUAAUCGUGUAUCACAAUGGCACGGUGAAUCUUAUCUCAGAUUGGUACUAACCACUCGUCAGGCGCUGAAAAUUGUGAGUGCAAUAAGUUUGGGGGAUUCAAAUAAAAAGUAUAAGCAACUGGGCUUAUGGCAUUUGAGAAUCUUUCUUCGUAUGCACAGCUUUGAUUAGUGUUAAGUUAUUUAGGGAGUGAGGUACCCUAUUAUUAGCUUAAGAAUGGAUCAAAACUGUCAAUAUCCUAAAGCUUUACUAACAAAAUUAUAAGAGAGAGCCUUAUAGUGAAGAAAUAGUUGUAAAGAUAUCAAUCCGUCAUCGCUAUGCGAAGAUGGGCUUCUGAGAAGAAAAUGGACAAGACGGUGCUAACUCGUCAGAGCAGUUUUAAACUGUUCCCGACAAAGCUAACAGACUAAACGUUCCACGUUAGAGGUAAAAGCCCUCGAGUUGUAAACUUAAAAAUGAUAAAAUUUAAGUUGAAGCGAAGCCGAAAGGAAGACGAAGAGAUAGUCGGACCUGAUUUGAAAGAAUCAACCCUUGCAAGAGGGGGAGGAUAUAUUUAUUUUACAAUUUAUGUAUCUAUGGAAAAGGGCGCCUCAAUAAGUAUAUAAAUCUUAAGACUUGACUAUCGCAAUGCGAUGGAGAAGUAAGCCCCUUACUCGCGAAAUAUGGUUCGUGUAGUGGAAGUUGCACGGGAAUGAUUAAUUAU
rnacentral:rRNA from 1 species